UUGGUACUCCCUCCGUCCGAAAAUACUUGUCAUCAAAAUGGACAAAAAGGGAUGUAUCUAAAACUAAAAUACAUCUAGAUACAUCUCCUUUUAUUCAUUUUGAUGACAAGUAUUUCCGGACGGAGGGAGUACUUG
rnacentral:pre_miRNA from 1 species